rnacentral:tRNA from 1 species
GGCCUGAUGGCAGAGUGGUUAUGCAGCGGACUGCAAAUCCGCGUACGCCGGUUCGAUUCCGACUCAGGCCUCCA